rnacentral:lncRNA from 1 species
AGUUUCAGAGGGUAUGGUGGCUGUUUGUUGUGGUGGAAGUGAAGUUGCUUCAGAUGGAGUUAGAGUUUGUUGUUGUGAAGCAAGUCUAUGAGCAUAAAGAGUGGCUAUGGUUGGGGAAUCAGGAUCAGAAAAUUCUUGGUCAGAAGAGAGGGAAACAUAAGGAGGUGAUUCAGGUUCAGAGGAUGAAGAAGAAGAGGUGCUUAGGUGGGUUUGAGCAGGGUUAGAGGGAGGUAUGAAUGUUCUUGCUAUGUUUAGAACUGGUGUUGGUUGGGAGGUUCUGGUGAUUGAGGGUGAAAUAUUAGAGGUGGUAUAAAUGGGUUGUGAAGAGAGAGGGUUAGAGGAAGCCAUCAUAAAUUCAGAGGUAGCAGGAGG